ACUGAACGCUGGCGGCAGGCUUAACACAUGCAAGUCGAGCGGGGUGAUGGUGCUUGCACUAUCACUUAGCGGCGGACGGGUGAGUAAUGCUUAGGAAUCUGCCUAUUAGUGGGGGACAACAUCUCGAAAGGGAUGCUAAUACCGCAUACGUCCUACGGGAGAGAGCAGGGGAUCACUUGUGACCUUGCGCUAAUAGAUGAGCCUAAGUCGGAUUAGCUAGUCGGUGGGGUAAAGGCCUACCAAGGCGACGAUCUGUAGCGGGUCUGAGAGGAUGAUCCGCCACACUGGGACUGAGACACGGCCCAGACUCCUACGGGAGGCAGCAGUGGGGAAUAUUGGACAAUGGGGGGAACCCUGAUCCAGCCAUGCCGCGUGUGUGAAGAAGGCCUUAUGGUUGUAAAGCACUUUAAGCGAGGAGGAGGCUCUUUUGGUUAAUACCCAAGAUGAGUGGACGUUACUCGCAGAAUAAGCACCGGCUAACUCUGUGCCAGCCGCCGCGGUAA
rnacentral:rRNA from 1 species